CCCUUAGAUGUUCUGGGCCGCACGCGCGCUACACUGACGAAUGCAACGAGCUUAUAACCUUGGCCGAAAGGUCUGGGUAAUCUCCAAAUUUCGUCGUGAUGGGGAUAGAUUAUUGCAAAUAUUAAUCUUCAACGAGGAAUGCCUAGUAAGCGCAAGUCAUCAGCUUGCGUUGAUUACGUCCCUGCCCUUUGUACACACCGCCCGUCGCUCCUACCGAUUGAAUGGUCCGGUGAAGCGUUCGGACCGUGGCCUUUGGACGGUUCGCCGUCUGUUGGCUGCGGGAAGUUCGUUAAACCUUAUCAUUUAGAGGAAGGAGAAGUCGUAACA
rnacentral:rRNA from 1 species